rnacentral:rRNA from 1 species
UUGAGUUUGGUGAUGGCUCUGAAUGAACGCUGUCCAAGUGCUUGACACAUGCUAAUCGUACGAUAUUGCUCUUUUAGUGUAAUAUAGUGGUGUACAGGUGAGUAAAUGAUAUAGAACUACCUUAAAGUUAGGAAUAAAAUUCCUGAUAAGUUUGUAAAAAAUUUUUACAGGUAAAGAAACUUAAGUUUUGCUUUAAGAUGAAAUAUAUCUCGUAUUAUUGUAGUAGUUAAGGUAAAAGCUUAACUAGCUUAAUAUACGUAGUCGUAACUGAGAGGUUGAUCGACCACAAUGGGUCUGAAAAAAGCCCAUGAUAAAGAUUACAGCAGUGAGGAAUAUUGGUCAAUAGCCUAACGGCUGAACCAGCAACUUGGAAGAAUGUAUAGCGAAAGCUAAUUGUAUGAAAAAUGCAAUAUCAACGAAGUUGAAUAAAAUUCUGGGUAUAUUUUGAUAAUGACAAAUAAUAUCUAUAAGUCUUGACCAAUAAAACGUGCCAGCAGUCGCGGUAACACGUUGAAGACUAGUGUUAUUCAUCAUCAAUAGGUUUAAAGGGUACUUAGACGGUAGGUAAAGCCUUUAUGGAACUAAUUUACUAGAGUUACUUGUGAGGGGGCCUAAAAGUACUAUUGGUUUAGAGAUAAAAUUCUACGAGACCGCUUGUUAAACAGAUAGAAAAUGGCACAGGUAAAGGCGAAAGCGUCUCCCUAUGUGAUAACUGACGUUGAAGGACGAAGGCUUUGUAUAGCGAAUAGGAUUAGAUACCCUAGUAGUCAAAGCAGACAAUGAUGAGUGUCAUAAAUUAGAUAAGUUUUUAGUUUAUAAAUGAAAAUGUAAGCACUCCACCUUAUGAGUAAAGUGGCAACGCCGGAAUUGAAAUCACUAGACCGUUUCUGAAACCAGUAGUGAAGUAUGUUGUUUAAUUUGAUGACCCACAAAGAACCUUACCACAACUUGAAUAUUUAUGUUUUUAUUCAUUUUAUUGCCACACACGAUAAAUAUGAAAUAUAAAAGUGUAUUUACAAGCGUUGCACGGCUGUCUUCAGUUAAUGUCGUGAGAUUUGGUUAGAUUCAUUAAAUUAACGUAAACCCUUGUAUUAAUUUUAUAUAAUGCAGCUCAUCCACCACAACGGAUAAGAUAAUAGGGACUAAGACAAGUCAUCAUGGCCCGAAUGUUGUGGGCUAUAGACGUGCCACAUAAUCCUUUACAAAGGGAUGUGAAAUUGUGAAAUUGAACUAAUCCGUAAAACUGGAUAUAUGAUGGAUCGUAGUCUGUAACUCGACUACGUGAAAUAGGAAUUACUAGUAAUCGUGUAUAAGUAUGGCACGGUGAAUUCUAUCUCAGAUUGGUACUAACCACUCGUCAGGCGCCGGAAGAAGUAUGCGCAAUAAGUUUGGCUAAUAUUUAUUUUAACUUGGACAACCUGGUCUGAAAACUUAAAUAUCUAGUUUUCGCAUGCGUGAUUUUAACUGGUGUUAAGUCGAAAUACGGUUCGUGUAGUAGAAAUUGCACGGGAUUCAUGAAAAUUA